rnacentral:rRNA from 1 species
UACGUAGGCAGCAAGCGUUGUUCGGAGUUACUGGGCGUAAAGGGCACGUAGGCGGUGAAUCGGGUUGAAAGUGAAAGUCGCCAAAAAGUGGCGGAAUGCUCUCGAAACCAAUGCACUUGAGUGAGACAGAGGAGAGUGGAAUUUCGUGUGUAGGGGUGAAAUCCGUAGAUCUACGAAGGAACGCCAAAAGCGAAGGCAGCUCUCUGGGUCCCUACCGACGCUGGGGUGCGAAAGCGUGGGGAGCAAACAGG